GUAAAACCGGGCUCGGGAGGGCUCGGGCACGGGAAAUGGUGGGGUAAAACCGGGCUGCCCCGGACUGGGGCUUCACCUAUUUUCAUGGAAUAAGGACUGAUAUGGAGCUAGUAAGGACAUAGAACAAACUACUGAGGAAGCCAUGAAUCCCCCUUGACUAAUGCUGGGAACAAGGCCGCUCUACUCCCAUGAUCUUUCUUCUAAGUCCACUUUAACUCUCUCAUUUUUAUUUCUAAUUUUAUUUGCUGUCAUUGUUAUCUUAAUUCUCAUUUUCCUUGAUUGUUGAUUUAUUUUUA